rnacentral:rRNA from 1 species
CCUACGGGUGGCUGCAGUGGGGAAUAUUGCACAAUGGGGGAAACCCUGAUGCAGCGACGCCGCGUGAGUGAAGAAGUAUUUCGGUAUGUAAAGCUCUAUCAGCAGGGAAGAAAAAGACGGUACCUGACUAAGAAGCUCUUGCUAACAACGUGCCAGCAGCCGAGGUAAUACGUAGGGGGCAAGCGUUAUCUGGAUUUACUGGGUGUAAAGGGAGCGUAGACGGUAGCACAAGUCUGGUGUGAAAUGCCGGGGCUUAACCCCGGAACUGCAUUGGAAACUGUACAGCUAGAGUGCAGGAGAGGUAAGUGGAAUUCCUAGUGUAGCGGUGAAAUGCGUAGAGAUUAGGAGGAACACCAGUGGCGAAGGCGACUUUCUGGACUGUAACUGACGUUGAUGCUCGAAAGCGUGGGGAGCAAACAGGAUUAGAUACCCCUGUAGUC